CUGCUAUCUAAACUAACAAUGCACCCUGUUGCAUUGCUGCAAUCUGACAAAUUUCCCUUUUUCACUUAUGACCGCCUAUACUGAUAUACUUAAUAAGGGCAGCAUGCAUUUUGCUAUAAUGCCCUCAACACAGCAUGCCUUCUGAAUUGGUACGAUAGAUAGAUAGAUAGAUAGAUAGAUAAUCACUGAUCCCACCGGUGCUAUUAACCAUUUUAGUCACUACAGAGUACAUUUAAAUCUUUGAACAUCA